rnacentral:rRNA from 1 species
AUAAUAAUUUAUUUAAAUUUAUAGUAAUUAAUAUUAAAUUAUUUAAGAAAUUAAGAUUUAGUAAUAUUUUAAUUAAUAACAAAUUUUGUGCCAGCAGUUGCGGUUAAACAAAAGUUAAAUUAAAUUUUUUUUAAUAAUAAUAAAUAAUUUAAUAUUAAUAAAUUAAAAAUUAAAUUAUUAAGUGAAAUUUUAAUUUAAUAAAAUUUUAUUUAUAAAUUUAUGAUUUAAUAAAUUUUAUAUAAAACUAGGAUUAGAUACCCUAUUAUAAAAAUUUAAAUUUAAAAUAUUAAAAUAGUAAAUAAUUAUUUAUUGAAACUUAAAUAAUUUGGCGGUAUUUUAGUUUAUUUAGAGGAAUCUGUUUAGUAAUUGAUAAUCCACGAAUAAAUUUACUUAAUUUUUAAUUUUGUAUAUCGUUGUUAAAAAAAUAUUUUUGAAUAAUUUAUAAUAUUUAAAAAUUAUAAUUUAAAUUAAAUCAGAUCAAGAUGCAGAUUAUAAUUAAGAAUAUAAUGGAUUACAAUAAAUUUUAUUUAAAUGGAUAUUAAUUUGUAAAAAUUAAUUGAAAGUGGAUUUAAAUGUAAUUUUAUUUAAUUUAAUAAAAUGAUUAAAAAUUAAAAUAUGUACAUAUUGCCCGUCGCUUUCAUAUAUUAUAAGUUGGAAUAAGUCGUAACAAAGUAGAGGUACUGGAAAGUGUUUCUAGAAAGAU